UCCUGCAGUACCACUGGAUAUUAAAGGACUUUUUCACAUGUGGGAUAAAUCAUAAGAACCUGUGGCAGAAAGUUGAAGCAAGGUACAUUCAAAGAAGUUGAAGUCAUUUUUUUCCUAUGUUUUACUUUUAUUUUCAAUGAUGCAUUGAAAAUAAUAAUUAAUGACCAGAACAAAACUACCAAGGAAAAUAAUGAGGGCAUAAGGGUAAGCACUGGCUGAACACAUCUGUUGUCCCUGGCACGCAAAAGGAACUUUUGUUGUAGUUUUUUGUUUGUUUGUUUGUUUAAGGAAAAAGAUGUGGCUUAAUUAAGCAGUAUUUAUAUUAAUUUGACUCAGCUGGGAUCUGGAAGCAACAAAUCAUAUAAUGCAGCCCAGUGAGCCUUUCUUCAGGUGUUCCUGCUUGUUGCAACCCUUUCAUCUGAGCUCUAAGACAGUGGUAGGGUCAGAUUGCUUCUUUAUCUGAGCCAGGAAGGAGCUUGAGGAAAGGGAUGUCUUCUCCAAGUUGUAGGCCUCCCUGAAUCCUGUUUAAUGAGAAAUGGAAUUAAUUCCAUGAAGCAUAGGAUCCCCUUCAUAGGGAGUACUAGCGACUAGUUUGCCUGGCUGGCUCCUGCCUGCUGUUGGUUACCAAAGAGAUAACGUUUCUGUUUUUAGCAGAAGCUGAAGCAUUCUCAAUUCCUGACUCAGAGCUUACUACUAGGCUAUAGUUAUCAGAACAUUAUCUCUUUUUUCUUUUUGGUCUGCUCAGAACAUUUUGAACCAACAUUACCUCAGUGCAUUCUGAAUGACUGCAUUAUCUGAUCUUCAGGACUGUGAGCAGAAAUGAAAUGGCAGCUUCCAUGAAGAAUUGCACCAUAGUACAACUGUCCCUAUGGUAAUAAGUCAAAAUGGAUGUAAAUGCAAAUCUUCAGAAGAAAAACCAAGAGUGUUUAAUUCUCUUUGAUUCCAGUGACACCCAGAUGCCUUAAUGCUUUUGAAAGUCUGUGUUUGAUUUUCCUCAUUAAGAAGAAUAGAUCAAGAAUAUUUUCUCCUUUUCUGAAUAACAGGAAGCAUGAAAAAUUAAUCCCUGAUAGAUACAAGUUGGCUUUCUGCUUUAUAGACAGAAAGGGUGAUUAAAUCUUUCUGAUAUUUUGUCUGUUUGCUUGUAAAGUAAAAAUAAUAAAAAAUGGCAUUCAUUCAGAUAAUAA